rnacentral:rRNA from 1 species
CCUACGGGAGGCAGCAGUAGGGAAUGUUGGUCAAUGGAGGCAGCUCUGAACCAGCCAUGCCGCGUGCAGGAAGACAGCCCUCUGGGUCAUAAACUGCUUUUAUUCGGGAAUAAACCUUAUUACGUGUAAUAAGCUGAAUGUACCGAAGGAAUAAGGAUCGGCUAACUCCGUGCCAGCAGCCGCGGUAAUACGGAGGAUCCAAGCGUUAUCCGGAUUUAUUGGGUUUAAAGGGUGCGUAGGCGGCUUAUUAAGUCAGGGGUGAAAGACGGUGGCUCAACCAUCGCAGUGCCUUUGAUACUGAUGAGCUUGAAUGAACUAGAGGUAGGCGGAAUGUGACAAGUAGCGGUGAAAUGCAUAGAUAUGUCACAGAACACCGAUUGCGAAGGCAGCUUACUAUGGUUUUAUUGACGCUGAGGCACGAAAGCGUGGGGAUCAAACAGGAUUAGAUACCCUGGUAGUCCACGCCCUAAACGAUGAAUACUCGCUGUUAGCGAUAUACAGUUAGCGGCUAAGCGAAAGCGUUAAGUAUUCCACCUGGGGAGUACGCCCGCAAGGGUGAAACUCAAAGGAAUUGACGG